rnacentral:rRNA from 1 species
UUCGGCGAUCUUUAGAGAUAGAGGAGUGCCUUCGGGAACGCUGAGACAGGUGCUGCAUGGCUGUCGUCAGCUCGUGUUGUGAAAUGUUGGGUUAAGUCCCGCAACGAGCGCAACCCUUAUCCUUUGUUGCCAGCGCGUGAUGGCGGGAACUCAAAGGAGACUGCCGGUGAUAAACCGGAGGAAGGUGGGGAUGACGUCAAGUCAUCAUGGCCCUUACGAGUAGGGCUACACACGUGCUACAAUGGCAGAUACAAAGAGAAGCGACCUCGCGAGAGCAAGCGGAACUCAUAAAGUCUGUCGUAGUCCGGAUUGGAGUCUGCAACUCGACUCCAUGAAGUCGGAAUCGCUAGUAAUCGUAGAUCAGAAUGCUACGGUGAAUACGUUCCCGGGUCUUGUAACACACCGA